rnacentral:rRNA from 1 species
CCUACGGGGGGCAGCAGUGGGGAAUAUUGCACAAUGGGGGAAACCCUGAUGCAGCGACGCCGCGUGAGUGAAGAAGUAUCUCGGUACGUAAAGCUCUAUCAGCAGGGAAGAAACUGACGGUACCUGUCUAAGAAGUCCCGGCUAACUACGUGACAGCAGCCGCGGUCAUCCGUAGGGGGCACGCGUUAUCAGGAUUUACUGGGGGUAUAGGGAGCGUAGACGGCAGCACAAGUCUGGAGUGAAAUCCCGGAGAUUAACCCCGGAACUGCUUUGGAAACUGUGCGGCUGGAGUGCAGGAGGGGUAAGCGGAAUGCCUAGUGUAGCGGUGAAAUGCGUAGAUAUUAGGAGGAACACCGGUGGCGAAGGCGGCUUACUGGACUGUAACUGACGUUGAGGCACGAAAGCGUGGGGAGCAAACAGGAUUAGAUACCCUAGUAGUC